rnacentral:rRNA from 1 species
UACGGAGGAUGCAAGCGUUAUCCGGAAUGAUUGGGCGUAAAGCGUCCGCAGGUGGCUGUGUAAGUCUGCUGUUAAAGAGUGAGGCUCAACCUCAUAGAGGCAGUGGAAACUACAUGGCUAGAGUGCGUUCGGGGCAGAGGGAAUUCCUGGUGUAGCGGUGAAAUGCGUAGAGAUCAGGAAGAACACCGGUGGCGAAAGCGCUCUGCUAGGCCGCAACUGACACUGAGGGACGAAAGCUAGGGGAGCGAAUGGG